rnacentral:rRNA from 1 species
AUUGAACGCUGGCGGCAUGCCUUACACAUGCAAGUCGAACGGCAGCGGGGGAGAAGCUUGCUUUUCCUGCCGGCGAGUGGCGAACGGGUGAGUAAUACAUCGGAACGUGCCCUGUAGUGGGGGAUAACUAGUCGAAAGAUUAGCUAAUACCGCAUACGACCUGAGGGUGAAAGUGGGGGACCGCAAGGCCUCAUGCUAUAGGAGCGGCCGAUGUCUGAUUAGCUAUUUGGUGGGGUAAGGGCCUACCAAGGCGACGAUCAGUAGCUGGUCUGAGAGGACGAUCAGCCACACUGGGACUGAGACACGGCCCAGACUCCUACGGGAGGCAGCAGUGGGGAAUUUUGGACAAUGGGCGAAAGCCUGAUCCAGCAAUGCCGCGUGUGUGAAGAAGGCCUUCGGGUUGUAAAGCACUUUUGUCCGGAAAGAAAUGGCUCUGGUUAAUACCUGGGGUCGAUGACGGUACCGGAAGAAUAAGGACCGGCUAACUACGUGCCAGCAGCCGCCGUAAUAC